UCUACUGAACCACAGCUGAGAUUGAAAUUGAAUAGAACACAUGAGCUGGAUUUUCAACAUCAGGAACCUGUAGUUGGGAUCAGUUCCAGGAUCCAAUGCCGCAAGGAGUUUUCCAGACACAUCUUCCCAGGCUUUGAGAGGAAGGACGAGGUCAUUUACUUGCAGGGAGCAGACUGGGGAGAAACAGAACAUCCUCUCACAAAAUUUCUUUACUGGGACUCCCUUUACAUUUGUGGGUGAUGCUAUCAUUUUACAGGCCAGAAUGUGAAGUCAGUCCGAAUGCUGAUUUAUUGGUUUUGCUGGACAAACCAGCUCGGGAUCUACAGUAAGUAGAAACAAAAUGUAUUGCC